rnacentral:lncRNA from 1 species
GAGACAGAUGCCUUAUGACGAAGAUUUUACACCUUCAUGAUUUCAUAUAUCCUCGCGGACAUAUAACGAUAUUGAUGAUUCUUUAACUAUGAUUACUAACUUUUUAUAAAGAACUGUUUUGUUGGUUAUUCUAUUCCGAUCUAUUUUUUCAGACUAUCUCAAGUUUGAGUAGUAUAAUACUCUAAUUUUUAAUGUUAAAAAUGUUAGUAAGAUAAUUUUUCAUUAAAUUAAGAUUUAGGGUUUAGUGUUUUGCUGAUGGCAUUAAAAAUAUUUUUAUCUUUUUUUACUUAUUUUUUUUUUAAAUCUUGAUAUAAUUGACAAUUUUUUUUCUUUUUUUAAAAGAUAUUGAAUAUGAAAUAACUAAUUUUUUUUUGGUUGGUAAACCUGCAGAUUCAUCUUAGGAGAUAACCCAAGAAUAACUUUUUAAUAUCGUAUCGGGAGGAAAUUAAAACACCUGAUUAAGGGCAAGAAAAAUAAAGAGAAAAUAAAUAGAACUUGCUGUCAUGUGGUUCCUAGAAAAAGGGAGUAUUUAAAAGCUUAACAGUUAAACCGUUCUUAGUUCACAGGCUAUAUAUACCUACCCAACUAAAAAACAAAAGAUGUGUGAUUGAUUUUAAUUUAGCUUUAUCGCAAAAAGUUUCCCACGAUGUAGGACAAUCGCUAGAACUUUCCUUUUUGACCCCUACCCGACUCUAACUACAUAAUCCUAAUCGCGUUAUACACACAACCUACCUAAAGUUAUUGAUCUAAUUAAUCACAUGCUUUAAAAUCUAAGUGUGUUAGCUAAACUAUAAGAUGAUAUGCUCAAUCAAAGAAAUCUUUUCAGAAUCUAUUGGAAGAAGUUUGUUAUACUAAUUACUACUUCCUCUUAGGUGAAGUGAUAAAAACAAGAGUGGCUGGUAAUUUUACUUGUGAUUAAAUAAAAAUUAAGAUUAUGUUUUAGUGUUUGUCGUACAAAAAUAUGAAAGAUAACUUCCAAAAUCCUGAAAACCUCCAGUGAAAAACGCAAUAAGGGCAUUAGUAAAACAGUUUUACCCUUCACUCAAAAAUGGAUUUUCAUAUGUAUACAUAUGAAGUCUCAGCCAGGGUCGGAUCUUGGAGAACACUUAAUAGGGGGCAUCAACAUAAAUCUUGAACUAGUCGCGAACAUUUUAAUGAACUUUAAGCUAAUUUUAAUAUGAUUACAUAAAGAAAAUCAAAUUUUAGAUGGGGCACGUGAACCCGUUCGACGUAAAAUCUGCUAAAAAGAAAAGUAACGAUGGUCUUUUUUUUUUUUUUUUUUUUUUGUAACACAAGUAACGAUGGUCUAAUAGGUCAAAACAAUAGUUUCCAUUCACUCUCCAACUUUUUAAAAUAUAGUUGGUUACCAUAGACGUCCAGGUCCAGGCCAACGUGUGGAAAAUUGCGGGAGAAGUACGGUGCGGUUUAAAUAGUAACAAAAUAUAUAUAAAGAUAUAUAUAAAGAUUAAUCUAAAAAAGAGGUUACUAAAAAAAAGUUGAUGGCGACGGGAAAGACGAUUGGAAAACGGUUAACGUUAUUGCAGUUUCUCGCCACAAUCUUCGUGGUUGAGAGUGGUUUUGAUGACAGCGUGGAGUUUUAUCGGAGGUUUACCCCCAUGAUGUCAAGUAUCUCCAUGGGGGACCCAUCGUCCCUUCGUGAUGAAACGGUUAAAAGGGAUUUGGAUAUCUAUUUAAUCUCUUGUUUGUGGGUAUUUGGUCUCCUAUCAAUUCAUCAUUCUCUAGCGAGUCUACUAUUUUUCUUUUGGAAAUUCUUCAUCACUAUUGAAACAAUGACGGAUGGUAUUCGAAGAGCGAUGCAAGAUGUUGAUCUUGGUGCGUCUGAAGUACCGGUGGUGAUGCCUGCGGAGAUGGUUCGUCAGGCAGCGGAAGAGAAUCGUUUUAUCAUUGUGGGGAGGCCAGUCAUGCCUCGUAGGCAAAAUCUUCGUGCCAUUGUCGCCUCUAUGCCUCGUAAUUGGGGACUUGAAGGCAUCGUUAGAGGAAGAAUUACUGAAGGCAGGCGCUUUCAGUUUGUGUUUCCCUCGGAGGAGGCUAUGGAAACAGUAAUCCGACGAGGGCCGUGGGCGUAUGCAGACAGAAUGUUGGUUCUCCAAAGGUGGACUCCUCUCAUGGAUAUGGGGACACUGAACUUCAUUCCAUUUUGGGUUCAGAUCAGAGGUAUACCAUUGCAGUUCAUGAACCGUGAAGUUAUCCUUUACAUUGCUCGGAUUAUGGGGCAGUACAUUCAAAUGGAGUACAAUGAAGAGUCUGGGGGCCGUUUGGAAUUUGUGAGGGUUCGAUUGAACUGGAAUGUUAAUCAACCACUCCAAUUUCAGAGAAACUUCCAAUUCAACCUAGGCGAAAAUACUCUUCUACGGUUUCAGUAUGAGAGACUCCGUGGCUUCUGUGAGGCGUGUGGCCUUCUCACACAUGACACUGGUGCGUGUGUUCUCAACAAUGGAGGUGCUGCACCUGAUGCAGGAAAUGAUGAUAGCGGUGAUGAUCAAGAUGAUGAGGAACUGGUCCCUAAUCAUGGCGUUCUUAUUGAAGAAAUCAAUAAUGAGGGUGCUGAGCAAAAUGAGGAAGGGCCGGUGAAUCCAAUCCAAGAGGAGUACGAGAGGCAAACUGAAGAUAUGGUAGCGGAUGCAGAAGAUGCGGAUGAUCUCUGGAAUGGUGAGGCCAUGCCCACCAUGUUCUCAAAUGAACCCAUUGGAGAUGAGAUGUAUAAUCCAAUUGACCCUUUUGGAUUACGUGCUGAGGCUGAGAAGGUUGAGGAAGCGAAUGGGAAAAGCAUGAAGCGCAAGAUGUGGGUUGAGGAAGCUACUGAUAAUCAGUUAAAGUUCUUCAAACGGGAAAAAGGUGAAACCAGUGGUGGAACUGAAAGGAUGGAGAGCUCUGAUGCGGGUCUCCAAUGUGAGAAGGUGGGUAAUACUGAGCAGAUUACCCACACAACUGAGCAGAGAGGCGCGGUGGGCCCAGAACCACCACUGCCGCCAUGAGGACACUGAGUUGGAACUGUCGAGGUCUAGGCAUUGACUCGACAGUUCGACGCCUAAAGGAGAUACAUAGGAAGUAUCUUCUGGACAUCAUUUGCCUUUCAGAAACAAAGCAGCAGGAUGAUUAUGUUAGAGAUGUUGGAGCUCAGUUGGGUUUUAUUAAUCAUGUUAUAGUCCCUCCAAUUGGCAUCGGAGGAGGCUUAGUUAUUUUCUUUAAGCAGCAUGUUCAGCUUUCAGUUAUCAGUCAAUCUCCUAAUCUCAUAGAUUGUAAUGUUAUUUGCAAUGAGAAUCAGUUCUAUUUUUCUUUCGUGUAUGGACAUCCUAACCCUGCAUUUCGACAUCAUACAUGGGAGAAAUUAAGUAGAAUUGGAAUCACAAGGAGAUCACAUUCAUGGUUUGCACUGGGUGACUUUAAUGAGAUCUUAAACAACAAUGAGAAGAUUGGUGGAAGAGUUAGACCUGAGGCAUCAUUUCAGAACUUCAGAGGUAUGAUGCGUACAUGUGGAUUUGAGGAUCUCCAAUCAGUAGGAGAUAGAUUUUCUUGGGCUGGUCAACGUGGUAAUCAUCUGGUCCAAUGUUGUUUAGAUCGUACAAUGGCUAACAAUACUUGGUAUGAGCAGUUCUCUGCCUCUCACACAGAGUAUUUGGAAAUAGGAGAAUCUGAUCAUCGGCCCAUGAUCACAUUUAUAUCUUCAGAAAGAGAGGAACCUCGUAGAUUCUUUCGGUUUGAUAGUAGAAUGAUACAUAAAGAAGGGUUUAAGGAGUCAGUAUGUCAAGGUUGGAAUGGAAUGGGACAAGCUCAGCUAUUACGUGUUCCCUUGGCCAAGCGUAUUUCAAGAUGCAGACAGAAAAUUUCUCAGUGGAAACGAACUAACAAGACAAACUCGAGAGAAAGGAUUACUGUGUUAAGACAUCGACUGGAUACAGCUACAACAUCCUCUUCAUUUUCUCUUCAGCAGAAACAGGCAAUCAAAGAAGAAUUGAAUCAAGCUUAUUUGGAGGAAGAGAUCUAUUGGAAGCAAAAGAGUAGAGUUCAGUGGCUACGAUCCGGAGAUAGAAAUACCAGUUAUUUCCAUGCUAUCACUAAAGCAAAAGAGAUACGCAAUACUAUUAAUUCCAUUCAAGAUGAUCAUGGAGUAAUUUAUAAAGGGCAAAAGGAGGUUGCAGGAGUGGCUAUAAACUAUUUUGACAAUUUAUACAAGACAGAAGGAAUUAAUCGGGAGCUCUGCAGAGAGGUGUUUAUGGGCUUCACAACAAGAGUCACUCCGGAAAUGAAUAAUGAUCUCAUCAAGUCAGUUACAGAGGAAGAAAUACGUGUAGCUCUGUUUGAUAUGGGACCUCAUAAAACCCCCGGUUCAGAUGGAUUUCCAGCGAGCUUCUAUCAACAUUAUUGGCCGGAAUGUAACCAGGACAUAUUACAAGAGGUUAAAGAGUUUUUUGAUACUGGAAGAUUGGAUCAGCAACAUAAUCACACCAACUUAUGCCUUAUCCCGAAGGUGUAUCCCCCUUCUGGUAUGAAAGAGUUCCGUCCAAUUGCUCUAUGCAAUGUAUCUUAUAAGAUUAUAUCAAAGGUGCUUGUUAACCGGUUAAAGGUUCAUCUGCCAGACAUAGUCUCAGAGUUCCAGAAUGCGUUCAUUCCAGGAAGAAUGAUCUCUGAUAACAUAGUGGUAGCACAUGAGAUCUUUCACAGUUUAAAAUCGAGAAAACGUCAAGCGCGCUCAUAUAUGGCUGUAAAAACGGACAUCACCAAAGCAUAUGACAGAUUGGAAUGGGGAUUUCUCAAAGAAGCAAUGCUAUCAAUGGGAUUUGAUACUAGGUGGAUUCAAUGGAUUAUGGAGUGCGUUUCUACUGUAAGUUAUUCGGUACUAAUUAAUGGAAGAGCAGAGGGAUAUAUAGUACCUGAGAGAGGGUUAAGACAAGGUGAUCCUUUGUCUCCAUAUCUGUUUAUUUUGUGUGCUGAGGUGUUGUCUCACAUGAUGAACAAAGCGAUGGAUGAUCGCUCAUUAUUGGGAGUUAAAAUUGCACUCCAGGCUCCUCCGGUCAAUCACUUACUCUUUGCAGAUGAUUCACUCUUUUUCUCCUUAGCUAAUCUUCGAGCAGCCAAGAAACUUAAGAAGAUUUUUUCAAACUACGAAGCAGUGUCAGGUCAAUCUAUAAAUCUGAGUAAGUCUUCAAUAACCUUUGGGAGUAAGGUUAGAGAUGAGGUUAAAACAUUGAUGAGGAAUGAGUUGGGAAUACACAAUGAAGGAGGCAUUGGAAAAUACUUGGGACUGCCGGAGCAAUUUGGUUCUAAGAAAACGGAGAUGUUUCAAUAUAUUGUGGAUAAAGUCAGACAAGUCACACAAAAUUGGAAGCAACGGCAUCUUUCACAUGGAGGAAAGGAGGUUUUACUUAAAGCAGUGGCAUUGUCAAUGCCAAUAUUCUCUAUGAACAUCUUUCGUCUGCCAAAGGAAGUUAGUGAUGAGAUCAACACAGUAUUAUCACGGUUCUGGUGGGGCUCUGGGGAGAAAAAAGGGAUGCACUGGUAUAGUUGGAACAGAGUAUGUAUUCCUAAAAGAGAAGGAGGACUUGGUUUUAAAGAUCUGAGUUCGUUCAAUCAAGCUUUGUUGGCGAAACAAGUCUGGAGAAUUUUACAAAAUCCACAAUGUCUCAUGGCCAGAACGCUUAAAGCACGAUAUUUUCCAGAUGAUAACAUUUUGGGAGCUAUACUGAAGAAGAAGGCAUCGUAUGCUUGGAAGUCCAUAUUGUAUGGUAAGGAACUCAUUUCAAAAGGAAUGAGAUAUGUGAUUGGAGAUGGGUCUCAUACAGAUAUGUGGAAAGAUGCCUGGCUACCAUUACACCCUCCAAGACCGCCUAGACCAAGAGGUAUACCAGCUUAUGAUGAUAAAGUCCAGAGUUACAUGAUACCUGGGAGACAGAGUUGGAAUUUGGAGAAGUUAAGAGAAGAAGUUGCAGAGGAGGAUUAUGAAACAAUUGUAGCCUUGAGAAUCAGUGAGAAGGCACAACAAGACCUUCUCGGUUGGCACUAUAAUGAAGAUGGAAUUUAUACAGUUAAGUCUGGUUACUGGCUCGCUACACAUCUACCCGAUCAAAAUUACAUUCCUCCAACAUAUGGAGAUGUGAAUUUGAAGCAAAGAGUAUGGAAGACUAAAACUCCAUCAAAGGUGCAACAUUUUCUAUGGAGACUAUUAUCAAGGAGUUUACCAACAGGUAAUAAUCUAAGGAGAAGGCAUAUUACAACGGAUACGGUAUGUAAACGAUGCUUCAUGGAAGAAGAAACAGAAGUACAUCUAUUUUUUGAUUGCUUGUAUGUGAAGCAAAUUUGGAGGGCAUCUGGAGUUCCGAAUUCUGUCUUUAAUGAUAUCAAUGCGACACUGGAAGAUAAGAUCCAAGCAUGUUUGGAGUUUGAUUCCUCGACCAGGUUAUCGCAUUUUAAUAACCUUCCCAUAUGGGUCUUAUGGGAUGUUUGGAAAAGUAGAAACAAACUCCUUUUCCAAAAUAAAAAUAUGCACUGGAGAAAUGUGUUGAGGUUUGCUAGAAAUGAUGCUAUAGAAUGGAAAGUAACUGAUGCUCAUCAGGAGAAGGUAAACUCAACAAAUCAGACGCAGCAUCAGAGAGUGGACGAGCUGAAGAGAUGGAGAUUACCAACACAUGGAAGAUUAAAGUGUAAUGUGGAUGGAUCCUUCUAUAAUGAGACUAUAGAGGCUACAGCAGGUUGGGUUCUUCGUAAUGAGGAAGGACAAUUUAUAGGAGCUGCACAAGCUAGGGGUGGUAAAGUCGGUACAGCACUGGAAAGCGAAUUACAGGCUAUUUUAAUGGCUCUACAGCACUGCUGGGCUCAGGGGCACAGGAAGAUAAUUGUUGAGAGUGACUGCAAGAAGGCCGUUGACAUUAUCAAUAACAAGAGUCUCAACUUUGCAAUGUAUAAUUGGACAAGGGAAAUCAGAUGGUGGAUACAGAAGUUUCAAGAUAUCAAGAUUCAAUGGAUUAAAAGGGAAGGCAAUAAACCUGCUGAUAAACUUGCAAAAUCCAUAACGUCUACAAUGGCUCCAUUUUCUUAUCAUUACUAUGUACCAACUGGCAUAACUGAUCUUCUUCAUGAAGAUUAUGUAUUUUCACAUUUAUCAUAAAUGGAAAUAGAUGUUUAAAAAAAAAAGAUAUAUAUAAAGAUUUUUGUUAUUAUUGGCAGUGGUGCGGUGCGGGCCGGUUGGUUACCAUUCUAAGUCUUAAUGCUGUCCUUGGGUAAAUAAUUUUUUUAAGCUAUAUUUUGAUUUGUAAAAAAUAUUAAUUUGGAGAAAAUACUUUGAAGUUACUAGUAAACUAUUUCUCUAGAUUUUUACAUUAUGUUAACAUUUCUCUAGACUUGCGUUAACAUAAUUCUAUUUCUCUUAAUAUUUUUGCGCACCAAAUAUUUUUGAACAAAUGGGGGCCCAUGUUUAGUUUUUGGAAAGAUUAUAGGCUCAUAUAUUAGCCUAACUCUUAAGACAGACAAGAAAAGUUAAUGUUGAUUAUGUCGAAUUGGGACAUUACACGAAACAGAUUGGCAUAUGAAGUGUCUAAUACUCGUUUUUCAUGUUGUCCUGUAAAAAUUGUUAUAAAUAAAUUUUAUAUGUGUAAAAUUAUUUAAUUUUUACUUGUGUAAAAUUAGCUUUUCCUUUCUAGCUUUAAUUUUUACUUGUGUAAAAUUUCAUUAUGGAGUAAAAAUAAAAUAGGGUUAAAGUAUUUUUUAUUUCAUAAUCAUUUUUACUAUAUUUUAGAGUAGUAAAUGGAGUGGGUUAGGUAUGCCCUAAAUCAAUACUGACAUAAACUGCAUUACUAUAAAACUUUGUCAUAGUUAUUUUAGUCUAAUGAUCACGAGAAAGAUUUAGAAUACAGUGGUUGCCUUUUAAUUUAAUUGAUAACUUACUGGAAAAUGUCUCUAUAUGUUAUCUAGUAUUGGAUUCAUUAUUAUUUGGCAAUAUAUGUGGGGUACUAAAUCCCAAAAAAAGUCUGGAUUUUCUAGAUAACAAUUUUUCUUAUUUUGUAGUGGAAUGGACCAGCAUAAUUCAAUCUGGUAGUUUUAGAAAAGGCCAAUUGAAAACAGACCCUAGCUAAUGUUUUAGCAUUUAAUGUAAUACUAGAUCUUGAUCCGCAUAUCUGUGCAAGUUUUAUUUUUUUUAUACUAAAAUAUUAUAAUUUAUAUAACAUUAUUAUGUAACAAUACUAUUUUACAUAUUUUUGUAUUUUAUAAAAAAAAUAUUUUGUAAAUAUUAUUAUGUAACAAUGGUAAUUUACAUAAUUUUAUGUUUCAUUUCUAAAAUUUGGAAUUUAUAUGAAAAUUAAAUUAAACUGAACAUAUAUAAUAGAGAUGAUUUUUUUGGGAUCCUAUCAAAAACAACAAAACUUAUUUUAAAAAAGAAACUAUAAUAUUUUUUACUUGCAAAAUAAAUUUGUAGUAAAGAUCCUAUUUGAGAAAUUUCUUAAAAUACACCAACUUGGAUGACAUUUUAAAAAAACUCAAUUAAAGAUAUCCUAACAUUUGAGUUUAGGGUUUAACGAUUAUUGUUUAGGAUUUAUUAUUUAGGUAGUGAAGUUGAGUUUAUAAAUUUCUGUAACUCAUUCUUAUAUACAUCUAUAAAUGUUUUGGGAUGGCUAAUUUUGUAUUUUAAUAACGAAUUUAAGAUAUUGAUGAAAUGAUAAUGAUUUAAAGGUAAAUUUGAAAAUAGUAUUAAAUACGAAUUAAAAUUAAAAUUUGUUGGAAUUAUGUUAUAUAUUGUAACAUUAAACCAGUUUGAUAAAUGUGUGUUCUCUUCAUAUAGAAUAGUGUUGGAAUAUUAUUUUUUUUUGACAUAUAUAGGUCAUUCAUGCUAUGACAUUAGUAUGCAUAUAGAUGAUAAAAGUGUUUUCAUGUUUAAUGUAUUCGUUCGUGUAUAUAUUCAUUUCAUAUAUAUAUUGUUCGUCCAUUUAUGGUUGGAGUAGGAGAUGUAAAACUUUAUUUACUAUUUUUUUAACACAAAAAAUGUAAAACUUUAUUUAUAGUGAUUAAUAAACUAAUUUGGUAUAGUUUUUAAAUAUUAAAAUGAAAUAGUUUUUUAACUCAAUAGAAUAUAUAAACGCUAAUAAUAGUUAACUAAAGCUUUAUAUAUACGAUAUGUAAAGAGGUUAAAUGUUUCAUCUACGAAGGAGGUGUAAAUUAAAAUUUAACCAUUAAUAAGAAUAUUAGAUUUGUGUUAAAAAUUAUUGACAUCAAUUGUAAUGUUACAUGAUAGAAGCAUUUAAAGUUGUGACCUCUAAGAGAUAGUUUAAAUUUAAAAACCACACAUGUAAUAAGUCAUGAUUUAUGUGUUUAAUAAAUAAGAUAUUUUUAUUUUAAAAAUUAAAUAGAAAUGGAUAUUGAUUUCCAUCAAAAUAUUUGUAAAAUGUAUUUUUAAAAAGUAAUAAUUUUUAGUUGUUAUUAUCGAUAAAAUAUUUUAUAAUUUUAAUUUUCGUUUAUAAAUUAAAAAUAAAUUAAAUUUAAAUGUAUGAUUAUAUUUUACGAUAUCUAAAUUUAAAUUAAUCAAUUUUCGGAAAAUAAAUUUAAAAUUCAACUGCAAGAUUUUUAAAAGAUUUUGUUAGAAUUUUCUCAAAUAAACAUUUAUUUUAUUUGAAAUAAAAAAUAAAGAUAUUAAAAGAUAUUAUAAUAAAAUUAUAUACAUUUAAUAAAAAGAUUUAAAUAAUAGUACAACUUAAUAUAUCACACAUGAAAUGAAGUUGUGACUUUUAUUUUAAUAGAAUAUAUAUUUAUUUACAAAUCGGAUUUAAAUAAUAAGAAUGCUUUAACCUCUUUGGUCCAGUUUGUCACCUUUAUACCAGCUGGAGACCAUAUCAGGGGAACAAACCCGAAAAAAAGCUGAAUCCAAAACCAAAUCCAACAUAAAAAUUUGAAUGAUUUUAUUGUCUUACGGUAGUAUAGGUUUUGGAUUUACCUGAACUUAACCCAAAUUCAAAAGGAUAUCCAAAAUAUCUAAAAAUUUAAAAAUAAUCUAUCAAAACCGUAUGCAAUUUGGAAUAACUCAAACAUAUGAAUAAGUACCUCAAUAAGUAGUUGUUACAUGAAUAAUUAAUUUAAAUAGUAAGUUUAAUAUAUAUUUUUGAUAUUUGGUUAAAUACUGAAAUUUCUAUGUUUUGACAAUUACAUUUGAAAUUGAAGUAUAAUUAAGUUUGUUUGUAAAGUUUAAACAAUAUUAAUUUAUUUAAAAAGUUCAAUUAUCAUUUUUUUUAAGUUUAUAGGGUUGUUUGUUACUAGUUUAACUUGUUUUUGUUUCUUUUCUCUUAACAACCAAAUUUGAAUCAUGCACUUAUGAUCCUAAAUACAUCAAAACCCGAAUUAGCCAAGUUGGUUGAAUUAUUGACCUAAAACCACCGGUUUAGUCAAAUCCAUUGGAAGGUUAUGGCCCACAAGAAAAUGCUGAAAAUAACUAACCAUUUGGACCCUACAUCAGUCUUAGCAUGUGACAACUUAACCGACUUAUACAACAUUAACGACCCCACUUGCUGCACUAGGAAGACAGCGAGUGGCAAACUAUAUUGUUGUCGAUUUAAGACAGCAGGUGGCAAACGACCUAUUCACGAUUUUCCUGUCCUUUUCGUUGUAUACAUAGUUUUAGGUAUGCAAGUAUAGGCUUUUACUCCCAAAUACCAAAUUUCUGAUGGUUAUUAUAACAUCCCGAUUUAUAGUAUAUAUAAAGGUUUAAUAUAAUUGAUUUGAUUAUUUUGUCAUUAAAGUAUAUUUACAUUUUCAGUUACACAUACAAAAAUUAUUUCAGAGUUAAGUGUGCUUAAACUGAGGUUGCGGAUGACAUAUCAUGAAAUAAUUCACGAUUAUGUGUAAGAUAGCCAAAUUAUAGAAAAUAUCAUGUAAAGAUUGCAUUGUCAAUAUACAUCAUAAAAAUUAACGCACUGUCUGCCGCACAGAAUGAGACCCACAUAUUAAGUGAGCAGGCGUGGAAGGUCCAUUAGCCAUGGGCAAUCGAAAUAUUACAAGUAGUAUCGGAGCCGUACUCAGCCUUCUAAUAAACUUUGCUUAGAUUUUAUACUUUACUACUAUCCUUAACUUUUAAUCAAACUUCAUUAGAAGUCUACUCUAUCGGAUUAUUUUUAGAUCUAAAAUUUUUGUAUAUUUAAAAACGUGAAAAUAGCUUUAAAUCUGAAAAGCUUCAAAAAUAGAGUUUAUAAAAUAAAAUAGUAGCAAAAUAAACACAUAGAGAUUGAAUCUAUAACUUAUUUAUUUUAAUAUAAACACAAAAAUACAUAUUUAAAAUAUAUAGAUCUAAAUCUUAUAUUUUUGAGAGGGAGAAAAAAACCAUAUUUACGAUAAAUUUUUAAUGAAAACCAUAAAUGAUAUUAUGAGAAAGACAUGAGAAAAAAAUUAAGAAAUUAAACUAAUUUUUUUCUUCAAAUUUAAAGAGAUUAGAGUGAAAUGAGAGAGUGUUAGAGAGAGAGGGAGAAAAAGUUUUAGAGAGAAGAGAGAGAGUUUUAAAGAGAAUGAAACAAAUUUUAGAAAUUUGUGCAGCCAUUUUAAAGAAAAUAUGUAUAAAUUACUUUUAUAUAAACAGACAAAAAUUAUAACUAGGUCAAAAUUUACGAUAAAUUUUUUAAAGUUUAUUAAACUUGAAAUUAUGGAGUAGAUUUUGUUAGAUAUCUACUUGAUAAACUUUGUUUGGAAGUCUACUAUAUACGAUAGUUUUAUUAUUGUUGAUUAUUUUUUAAUGUUUUAAUAAUUUUAGUAUAUAAUGUCACAAUUCUUCAAUAUUAGUUUGAAGACUAUUAUUUUAAUAUAUUCAUACAAAAACUAAAAUUAACUUUGAAUUAUUUUAAUUUUUCUAAUCUCAUAUUUUAGUAGACUGCAUAAAAUAUCUACUAAAUAUAUUUUUGACCAUUGUAAUAUUUGUGAUCUACUUCCUUCUUUGCCUAACAUUAAUCUAUAUUUUUCUAAUCUCAAAUCUACUUAUUUCCAUUGAUGAAUGUAAACAAUUAUAAAGGAGUGGCCUUUUAUUAAACCUUAGGCAGACCAUUUUUUAAACCGGGAGAGUUGCAGUCCAAAACUCAGACUAAUAUUCAGAACCCAUGCGUUCCAUUAGACAGUUCUUUCCCUNNNNNNNNNNNNNNNNNNNNNNNNNNNNNNNNNNNNNNUCCCUAAAAACAAGUUACAUCGAAAAUAUUAUAAUUAACAUAAAGAAAGAAUUUGUAGAACUAAUAAAAGAAAAAAAACGAAAGUUUUUAGUUCAUGUUUUUCUUCUAAAUCAUAUCUAUCAAGUUUUUAGUUUGUAUUAUAUUAUGGUAGACAGGAGUAUAACGUUAAUCAAAUUAGCACCAAUCAAUAAGGAAUCAUGAAAGACACAUUCGAACGGGCUCAAAUCGACGCACAAACAAAAAAGUUUGGAGUGAAUUAAUAAAAAAAACAAAUUUGGCGGAAAGGUUGGCAGAAUUUAUACUUGGGAUUGUUAUACUUGCGAUCGAAAAUAAAAGUUUAGUCAAAGAAUUACCAAACAAAAUCGAUAUUCGUGUACGAAUGUAUUUUUUUUCUUCUCUAUAAGCUAUGAUAUUUUUCUAAGGGCUACGGACCCUUUGUAACUUUAGUGACAUAAUCUCGUUCCUGUUAUAGAAAAAGAGUCUUUAAUUUGUCUUCAUACAUUUGUCUCUCUUUAUCUUCCUAAUUAGAUAUUCUAUAGUUAAUCAUUGCAGUUUAGUAAAUAAUUAACCAUUUCGGAAAUUUAAUUAUAUUUCCUCCGCUUUAUAAAUAUUUUAAAGAAUGUCAGGGUUGAUCUAGAUCAAACGAAAUAUAUAUAAAAUUUUAAUUUAAUUUAAUAGAUUCCUUCUAUUAAAUUCAUAUUUCUCGUGAAGGUAUGUUUUGAGUUUAUAAUCACAUUUAUAUAAUCGUUUUGAUUUAGUUCUUAACAUUUUAGCAACAAAAAAAUCUAGAGCAGUGAUGUAAUGGUUGACAACUCAAAGUCUCAUGGCGUAAAUUGGCUGGAACCCCGGGUUUGAUUACUUUUGAGUUUUGUCGAUCAACCAAGCUAAACAUGGAAUAAUUUGUAUCCCAGGGGGCAGGGCUCAGACCGGUCAUGUAUAGCCUAAUAAAAUUUAUAUAAAAAAUAUUUUAUGACUUCCAAAAUUGUAGGAUUGCUUUACUCAGACUACUGUGUGGGCCAACUAGCAUAACAUUUGUCCACCCAUCGAGAUAAGUUAGAGAUUAUGUAAAACUAAAAAAAGCAUGUUAACCUAACAGGCUAACACCAAAACAUCAAGAGAGAUGGGUACGUUAGGAAAGUAACCAGGAUCAAAACAUGAAGGAGAGGGGGGCCACUGUACCGAGGGACACGGGAGUGUGAGGAAGGAUUAAUCAAGUGUCAUUAGUCCACGAGACGCACAUAGAAAAUCCAUCUUGUGUUUGUUAGUAAACCAAAAUCCACAAAUAAACCAGCUAGAUUCAGUUUCACCACGUGGAGACCUGCUAUGGAUUCCUUUUAAUCGAUCAUCCAAAUGUUCCAGUCUACUCAAUAUCUAACGUUUUGUCAUUUAGACGGCCGAUUUUUUUUAUAAUGAUAAUAACUAGAAAAAUAUACUAGGAGAAAAAAGAAAGAUUAUAUUCUUAACAAUAUAUACCAUUUAACAUUAAUUAAAUAGAAAACUUAAUAAUAUGGAAAUGCAAAUCUAAGAUUAAUUUCUGAUGAGAAUAAAUUUACUUAGAAAAAAAUCUCAUUGGUUAAAACUAGUACGGAAUUUGCCGGACCCAAAAUAAUUUAUAAUAUAUACUGAACAUAAGAAAGCUAAUGGUCAAAAUAAAAUGAAAUCUUCUAAAUAAAUCAUAUAUUCUAAUAUCUCAGCAUAAACAAAUGAAUAUUUCCAAUCAUAAACUGAUAAAAGAUACAUUGAUUAUUUACUAUAAGUACAAGUUCAAAAUCUAAGAAGAGAAAUUAGGGUAUUCAACGUACGUUAACUACAAGCAAGCAGAUAUAGCUAGAGUUAUUAACUCCAUUUCUUUACUUUUACUAUUUAAUCUUUGAUCUUUUGUCGUUGCAGUAUAAUAAAAAUCAGUUUUAUUUUACCUGAUAAUAUGGUAAGUAUGUAUGAACGAUUGUCGUAGUCCGUAGACUAAUGAUUAGGUUUGAGGAUGAGGAAAAAAGAGAAGAUACACUUCAAAGAACAGUAGAAGAAGAGAAAAUAAUUUUGUUAUUCUGAAAGAAAAACUAUAUACUCUGGCCCCUUCAAUAUUCUGUCAAAAUGCCAUUUUCUUUCUUUAAUUUCCUUGCUUGGUCCCAUAUCUUGAUUCUCAAAAUGAACACACCAUCAUUUUUCAUGGCCAUUUGGUCCUUCAAUUAACACACACCAAAACAUACCUUCUUUCUCUGUGUGUGUGGUAUGUCUAUAUAUCACCCCCACCAUCAAAUGCUGAGAAGGUGUCUUUCACACAAGAGUCAUAACUCUCAUCAACUAGAAAUUUCGCAAAACCAUAUUGCGUCUACUCUUCUUCUUCUUUAUGUUGGAUAUCGAAUCUGUUUCCAUUCAAAAGAAACAAACCAUGAGCAUUAUUUCUUCCACAAAAACCCAAUGUUUACCACUUAAAUUCUGUCUCAUCUCUUAAACUUUUUCUGUUUCACACACCAUUCUGUUCCGUUUUUUCGGCUUCUUGCUCACCAUUGUUGCUUCUUGCAUUUAAACCCUUUUGGACCACUCCUCUGAAAAAGAGAAGAUAAGCAAUUGGGUCAGUUGCUAUAAAGGUCCUAACAGAAACUUUCCCGUGUUAUUCAUCACAAGCUUCAUCACUAUUUAUAAACUACCACCUUGCCAAGAAAAAAAAGCCUUCACCUGCAAGAAACAGCCUUUCACAUAGCAUUUUUUUCUUAUAAAAAAAAGAUUAACAAGAUGCCAAUCUCUUGUACCAGAAACUUCUUUGAAAGAUUCUGCGUAGAAGAUUACAAUAUUGACAACAUUAAACAGAGUAGUUUCCUCUCCGCCGAUCUUUUGCCAUCUCUUGGAGCUAGAAUCAACCACUCAACUAAGCUCCGUAAACAUAUAAUCUCUCCUUUCAAUUCAAAAUAUAGGCAACUUUCUACUCUCUACUCUUUUUAAUGUAAAUCUUGACUAACCAAGAUUAUGUUCUAUUUUUUUUAAUCCUCUGUUUCAUUACAGAUCAUGGGAGAUGUGGCUUGUCCUUCUAGUUAUUUACUCAGCUUGGAUAUGUCCCUUUCAAUUUGCCUUCAUCACCUACAAAAAAGACGCGAUUUUCAUCAUCGACAACAUUGUUAAUGGCUUUUUCGCCAUUGAUAUUGUCCUCACCUUCUUUGUUGCCUAUCUUGAUAGCCACUCCUAUCUUCUAGUGGACGAUCCCAAGAAAAUAGCAAUAAGGUGACAAAUUAACUUAGCUUGAAAAACCUUUUUUUAUAAGUGAAUCAGAUUCUUGAAAAAAAUCUUGAAAAUGUAACGUUUUCAGAUACCUUUCUACUUGGUUCGCUUUCGAUGUGUGUUCCACUGCACCGUUUCAGCCACUGAGCCUACUGUUCAACUACAACGGCAGCGAAUUAGGCUUCAGAAUUCUCAGCAUGCUCAGGUUAUGGCGGCUCAGACGAGUUAGCUCGCUGUUCGCAAGGUUUAUUUCAAUGUUUAAAGACCAUAUUCUUCUUAGGGUUUGAUCAAGAAAGUGUUUUCUCAACUUUUCUAACUCUCCAACUUCACUUCAGGCUUGAGAAAGAUAUACGUUUCAACUACUUCUGGAUCCGAUGCACAAAACUCAUUUCCGUAAGUCAAAUAUAUAUAUUUUUUCCAAAGACUAAGAAGUUUUGGGUUCAAAAGCCGUACACACAAAUCAUAUUAAAUUAGUUGUUAUUUUAGAGAGCAAAAAAAAUUCUUCAUACAAAACUUAUAUAAUGCUAUUCUUUAAACAUUUAAUAGGUGAUCCAAGAGUUUUAGUCUGCAAAAAUAAAGUAUUUCAUUUGUAAUAAUAGUAACUUGCUCUUAAACAUAUCGAUCUCAGGUCACUUUUUUUUUUACUGACAGGUCACUUUGUUCGCUGUACAUUGUGCUGGAUGUUUCAACUACCUGAUCGCAGAUAGAUAUCCUGAACCAAGAAAGACAUGGAUUGGAGCUGUGUAUCCAGAUUUCAAGGAAGCAAGUCUCUGGAAUAGAUAUGUGACUGCUCUUUACUGGUCUAUUACGACGUUAACUACCACUGGAUAUGGAGAUUUGCAUCCUGAGAAUCCAAGAGAAAUGCUCUUUGACAUUUUCUUCAUGAUGUUCAACCUCGGCUUGACGGCUUACCUUAUUGGAAAUAUGACCAACCUCGUCGUUCACUGGACUAGCCGAACCAGAAGCUUUGUAAGUCUGAUCCUUUGAUUUUUAUUUAGGCAUGUUCAUUUCAGAACAAAAAAAGUUGGGUAUAGCGAAUAUGAAUAGGGUAAUCAGUGCAUUAAAAUUACUAUUUGAGAUAUAAAAACUUUAAAACUUAGUUAAUUUUUUAUUUUGUUUUUUGAAAAUAUAAAUCCAAACAAGUUAUUCGAGUAACCAAAUAAUCUACAUUGAAAAUAGACCAUUUAAAUUAUUUUGACCCUAACAGAUCAUUUUUAUUAAGUUCAUUUAUUCUCUAACACACUUUUAUAUUUUUUCAUCAAAAAUAGAAAUGGAUUUUGAGAGAGCGUAUAUUUCUAAAGUGAAGGAAUUAUAUAUAUAAAUAGAAAAAUAAUAUUUUACAGAAAUAGAAUAGAGAAAAUAACAUUUUCUGUAAAUAGAUGAAGAAAUAGCAUUUUUAUUUAAGGAAAUACACGGGAGCAAAAUCACCACCAUUUAAAAAAAAAAAAUUUGUGAAGAAAAACAUAAAAAUUGAUUGUAGAUGGUGGUAUUACAUGACAAUCUUAGGUAGUAUGUCUCUUGUAAAUUGGUAGUGGUAGGGUUGGGUAACGUGAUCCGAAAUGCACAUGUAUAUGUUGAUUCUCCCUCAAAUUAAAUGUUCAACCUACUGAAAGUUAGAUAUUUGACUGAACUAUAAUCAUCUUCAAUAUGAAUUAGUUCAAACUAGACAAAUACUCAUUCUUUUUGUUCAACAGAGAGAUACGGUGAGAGCUGCUUCAGAGUUUGCUUCAAGAAACCAACUCCCACAUGACAUACAAGACCAGAUGCUCUCACACAUUUGCUUAAAGUUCAAAACAGAGGGCCUGAAACAACAAGAAACCUUGAACAAUUUGCCAAAAGCAAUCCGGUCUAGCAUUGCAAACUAUCUCUUCCUCCCCAUUGUUCAAAACAUUUACCUUUUUCAAGGAGUUUCUCGUGAUUUUCUCUUUCAAUUGGUAAAAUUAUAUUCUCUAAAUUUUCAUUUAAAUUUAAUAUCAAUGUAAACCUAAGAGGUUUCAUGAAGUUACCUUUUUUAUGUUUAAGGUUUCAGAUAUAGAUGCCGAGUAUUUCCCACCUAGAGAAGACAUAAUUCUACAGAACGAAGCGCCUACAGAUCUUUACAUUUUGGUCUCAGGAGCAGUGGUGAGCAAAUUAUAUCGAUUUAUAAGUUAAAAUGUAAAGAAAUGGAAUUAAAAAAGUACCUUCUAACAUUGUGUUUUAUUGUUACAGGACUUUGCAUCUUAUGUUGAUGGUCAUGAUCAAAUUCAAGGGAAAGCAGUUAUUGGAGAUACGUUUGGAGAGAUUGGAGUUUUAUGCUAUAGGCCACAACCUUUUACGGUAAGAACAACAGAGUUAUCUCAAAUACUACGCAUAAGCCGAACAUCGCUGAUGAGCGCGAUGCAUGCUCAUGCUGAAGAUGGACGAGUUAUAAUGAACAAUCUCUUCAUGGUACGUGAGCUAAAACCAGAUUCUUGAAAUUUAUGUAUAUAUUUUAAAAAUAAUAAACAAACCCAUGUUUUUUCUUACAAAACUUGCAGAAACUUAGAGGACAACAAUCAAUAGGAAUAGACGCUACAAAUAAUGAUCAAGAAAACAGAGAUUUCCAACGAAUGGGAUGGGAAGAGUGGAUGGAUUCAAGAAUAGAUUGCAAGGGUUCAGAUGUUUCAAACUCGACUUCCGAAAAUGGAGAAAAGGCUCUGAUGGAUGCAAUACACAAGGGAGAUAUUGAAAGGGUUAAGAAGCUACUUAAACGAGGGAUUAACAUAGAGGAACCAAAGGCGCGAACAGAAGCAAAAGGAGGAAACUCAAAUAGCGAAACCAAACAAAGAAGUAACGAGUCAGAUCAAUGUUGUAGCUCCAGCAUCCAAGCUAAAGUAAAAGAUAAGAGAGUUACUAUUCACAUGUUGUCUCAAGAGAAGGAUCCACAGCGCCAUAACGGGAAGUUGAUACUCUUACCUACAUCCAUAGAAGAGCUUCUAGGUCUAGCAGGUAGGCUCUGAAAAUAAUCAAAAUGAAGGAAAAAAAACUCUCGUGAAAAAAGUUUCUAACCAAUAAAAUAUGGAAUUGUGUAGGUGAAAAGUUUGGAGGAUGCAGUUUCACAAAGAUCACCAAUGCAGAGAAUGCUGAUAUUGAUGAUUUAUGUGUCAUUCGGGACGGUGAUCAUUUGUUUUUUCAUCAAAUUGAGUUUGAAGGUAGACAUUGAAGCUUGUCUUCCUUCAUUAGAGCACUGUAUAUUUGCGGCAAUAUAAUUUUACCCUGUUUCAUAGAACAAUUCGAUUAUCAUAAGCAUAGUCUCAAAAGUCAAAACUGAUAUUGAUUGACACUAAAAUAUGUGUAUCAUCUAUUUUUUGAAAAAAAAUAGUUAUGUAAAACAAGAUAGGUAAUGCGUGAAUAAAUUUCGUACAUAAAUUAUUAUUGUUUAUUGUUCUUCUUUUCUGAAACAACUGUACAUUAGUUUUGGAAAAUGAAUUUAAGAACAGCAAAGAAUAACCUUCUUUAAUCUAAGCUUGAUCCGCUCAUCCACGCAUGUUUAUUUUUAUCUUUUUAUAAAUUCAUAUUUAUUAAGCGAUAAUAUAUAUUUUUAAAUUUUAAUUUACCCAUUUUAAAUAAUUUUAAUAUGACAUUUAUGUACAUAAUAUUUUUAUAGUUUAUACUGAGUAAUUUUAUUUUAUCUUGUAAACUGUCAAAUGUAUCAUUCACUUUUUUAUAAUAUGACCCGUACGUCCGCGUAAAUGUAUGUUUUAUUUUUUGAUCAAAAUUUUCUGAUAAUGUGUAUAAUAAAAUUUUUUUAUAUACUAUUUGAAAGAUGGUGCACUCUUCAACAUUUAUCUACUGAAUUCACAUUCGGCUAUUAUUUAUAUUAAAAUAUAAAUAAAAUAUUAGAUUUAUAUAUUAAUUUAUAUUUUAGUUAUAUAUUAUAUAAAUGUUCUUUUUAUGUGACUUUUAAUUUUUAGCUAUUAAUAAUAAAUAAUGAAAAAUAUAACUAUAUAGCUUAAAAAAAUAUUAUAUUCUAAAUUAAUAAAUUGAUACCUAAAUCGAUUUAGGUGGUGUUGUUUUGUCAUGUUUAUUAAUUAAUUAUUUGUAAUAAAAACUUAAUAUAUAUUCUGUCAACUUAACAUUAAUAUAUCGAAAUCGAUUUUUUAUGGUUUAAGGUCAUUUCCGUGAUAAAUAUAUCAAUAUUUUUUCAUGUUUAUUAAUUUUUUAGUUUAAGUUUAUGUUUUAACAUUAAUUAGUUUGAAAAUCAAUCUAAGUAUAUCUAUGGUUGUUUAAUUUGAAAAGAAAUAAUACAUGCUAAAAUUUAGGAUUAUGUAGUUUCUCAGUAGCAUUAAAUUGUAAUUAAAUAGUUGUUUUAGUUUAAAAUCAAUUUAGAAAAUUAUUUAUUAAAUAAAGAAAAGACAAAAAAUACUUAAAGGUUGGCUUAUUAAUUAUUUUAGUGGUAUUUCCUUGUAAAUAAAUUAUAAGUUUUAGGGUUAGUUUUUAUUUAUAAUUAUACUUUAAUAACAUAGAUAGAAGAUGAAUGUUUAAAAGUAACUACGCUCUCACUAAAUGAUUAUCUUAGUGAUAAAUUGUGAUCACGAGGGAUAUCAUGGGUUCUCACAAUAUACUAGAUGCGAAUCCUUCUUGAUCAUAACACACCAGCAAUAAUAUAUAGCCACUAAAAUUUAAAUCGUUAAAAUAUGUAUAGACAUUCGGUCCUAAAAUUUGAUUUAAAGUAUGUGUUGAUCAUUUAGUUGUUUGUAUUGAGAAACCCAAAGAGGUUACGGACUUAAGGUGUGCUUCCCUUCCGAUUCAUGUUAACAAUUGAAACCAAUCAAGCCAUCUACACGACAUCUUCUUCAAGCUUAGCUAAGACGAUUGCAUAGGGUGCAAGUCUAGUCGAUGUUCACCUCUUUUCACUAGAGCGUAUUGAAUGCAAGUCAUUAUUGGGCCUAAAAUGCGAUAGUCUUCAAAACAUGCUAUUAAAUUGUCGGGAUACAUCUGAUUCGAGUAAUCUACAACUGCUAUAGGCCACCAACAAAAAUUAGAACCUUGGAAAAAUCUACACAAAUCAAUACUUAUGUUACAUAUCAGUUUGUCUUAUUAGAUUUUGGUAACUAACCUUCACCGACCGCAUGCCCGCAUUUUGCGUACAAUUUUGUAAAAGGAAACAACAUUGCAAAACGAAAAGUCUAUUAUUGAAACUCCUCGUAUAAUAUAACCGUCUUAAUUUAGUAAGAAUAAUUAUUCGACGAGAUCAGAAAUUAACAAAAAAAAUGAUAUAUUACACACACGAACACAAAGUGCCACAUACGCAGUAAGCGAGCAUGUAGCUUAACCUACGGUACGCAUCUGAUUUUCUCUUAGAGCAACAUUAUUGGUGGGAUGAAGAGAGAGAGGGAGAGAGUCCCUUAUUUUGUUUUUUUUUUUUUUUUUUUUUUUUUUUUUGUCAUUAAAUAGUAAGGGACAGCCUUUAAUUAAGGGCUUUUCCCUUCUCUUUCUUCCUCGGUCCCCACCCCCUUCCUCUAAGGGAUGGCUUAAGGCACUCCCAAUAAUGUUGCUCUUAUUCCUAUUGUACCGUCGCUUUCCUGCUUUGUUCCAUCGUCUUCAAAAGUUCGACUGGUAAAAAUUGUAGCUGUUUUCUAUCCAAAACAAGAAGAAGAUUUUUUGCUAUUUAAUUGUCAUUUUUAACUUUUAACCGUAAAUAUUUUGUUUGUUACUUAAGACUGUAAUUGUUAUUUAAAUAUAAAUAAUAAUAAUAAAAACUAUAUAAACUAUUUAUACUAUUAUUUGAGAAGUGAAUUUGCUUAUUUGUCAUAUUGUCCAUGAUUUUAGCUAAUUUUGCUUAUGUGUCAUGAUUUCAAUGAUCUUAGAUAAAUUUAUUUUUUUAUGUUCUCGAUAAUUUAUAUAUAAUUUUUAUUAUAUAACAAAAACGAAUUUCAUAUUAAUAAUAUCAGUUUUUUCGAAAAGAUAAUUUUUAUUUGUGUUGUUAUCUUGAAAUAAUAUUUUUUAAUUUAAAAGUUAAAAAUUAAGAUACAAAACAAUUUAUCUAUCUAUACUAUUAUUCGCGAAGUGAUUUUUCGCUACGGAGUUCUCAUGUUAAAAAUAUAUAUUUUAAUAACAAAUUUAUAUUAAUCAAUAUAAGUUUUUAAUAUAUAUAAUUGAAAAGAUAAGGUAAGUGAUUUCUAAGAUUUAUCUAAUAAUGUUGAAUAUAGUAUAAAAAUUCAAAAAUAUAUAAUAAUAAAAAAGAAUUUACAAAAAAUAAUAAUUUAUCAUUAUAAUCUUUUAUUUAGUAAUGUAUGUAUUAAUAAGUAAUUAUAAAAUGUUUAUGCCCGCAAUUAUAAAAUGUUUAUGCCCGCAAGUGCGGACAAAACACCUAGUGAAUAUUAUUUUUAAUGCUUUAUUAUAACAUUACAUUACAUAAUAACAAAGAUAUGAAAAAGAAGAAAAAGAUAUUUCAAUAAAAGAAUAAAAAAUAGAAACUUAUUGUUUUGAAAGUCACAUUUAUUAAGAUUUAGAAAAUAAUUAAAAAGAGGAGGAAGGAAACAAUAAGAAAAAAAUGGCUCUUACAAAUUUAGAGAUGAUAACGGUUUUUAAAAAUCUGGUUGGUAAAAAAAACAGUCGUCUAAUCCGAUAAGGCUUGACAGCACUAAUGCAUAUCGGGGCGCAAAUUCCGUAACUUCAUCCAGAAAUAUUCUCUACCUAUAAAAACCAUUAAACAAUCUUUCAAGUCACAUAUCACAAAUCACAAAUCACAAAUCACAAAUCUCAUAUCACAAAACUCAUAGAAUCAAAUCCAAUGGCGUCUCAAGAAACCAUAACCAACCAAAGAGAAGGAGCUGAGAUCGUUAAUGGCGCAUCAAUGUGCAAGCAAAAAGCAAACGAGAUGUUAUCGUCCAUGAAUCUACCAAAAGGACUUCUCCCUCUAGACAACAUGACAGAGAUCGGUUACAACAAAUCAACCGGUUAUAUAUGGAUCAAGAUGAACAACAAUGUUCAGCACCAGUUUAAAGCCAUCGGCAAAAACGUAUCGUAUGAUGCGGAGGUCACUGCGUUCGUUGAAAACCGUAGGAUGCGUGGUCUCACAGGAAUCAAGAGCAAAGAGCUUUUCAUUUGGGUUACGAUCACUGAGAUUUAUAUUGAUGAUCAAGAUACCACGAAAAUCACCUUUGCUGGUCGCUCGGGUUUGUCACGUUCUUUUCCCGUCUCUGCGUUUGAGGAAGAGGAGAAGUGAUAUAUGUCUAUGGUCUGAAAACUUUGCUUCAUAAACUAUAUAUAUAGCUAUGUAUUGUUUCCCUUCUUUUAUUCCAUAAAUAUGUAAUAUGUAUUAUUUAUCUGCAUCUUUCCGAUCAGAAAUACUUAAAACUAUAAUUUUAUAGAAAUUUGUUUAUCAAUAUAAUUAUUAUUUUCUAUUUUGAAAAUUUAAUUCAUUAAUUUUCCAUAAUUUAAUUAAGUGUGUCCUUUGGUGUUUAAAAAAAGAAAAAUUCCUUUAAAAUAUUUCAACUAAAUUUUGUUAAGCUUUUUAAUGCCCAAACUUUUUUGCUAUCCAAUUUAAUACCUCAACUAAUUAUUUGGCCAUUUUAAUACCCAAACUUUUAAAACUGUGUUCAUUUUAAUACCCAAACUUUUUUUUAUUUUAAUCAAUAAUAUCAAUAAGUUUCAAACGAAAUUUUAAAACCUUUAAAAUUCACAAAAAAUCUUAAAAAAAUCUAGUUUUAUUUGAAGUCUUAUAAGUAAAAGUAACUAAAUUGUGGAUAAUGUUAAAUUGUAUAAAAAAAUUUAAGUUUUAAAUGUCAAAUUUGUUUUUUUUUUGGAAAUAGUGAGAUUUAAAAAGAUUUUUUCUUAGAUUUUAGAGGUUUUUUAAAUUUUGUAUGAAACUUAUUAAUAUUUUUAAUUAAAAUAAAAAUAUUGGGUAUUAAAACGAACACAGUUUUAAAAACGUAUGUAUUAAAAUGAGCAAAAUAAUUAGUUGAGUUAUUAAAGUAGGAAUGAAAAAUUUUGGGUAUUAAAAAGUUUAACAAAAUUUAGUUGAGAUACUUUUAUAGGAUUUUCCUUUAAAAUAAUAAUAUGUGCCUUUUUAGUUUUGGAAUUAUUUGUGAGAAUCAUGUCUAUCAUGGUCAUGGUCAUGGUCAUGGUCAUGGUCAUGGAUAGAAGCACUAGAAUUGUUUUUAAAAAACAGGAUAGAAGCAUUAGAAACUCGUGCUUUCAGCUUUGUAAGAAAAAAACAAUAAUUUGGUUUUAUUAUCUUAGUUGGUUUUCAGGCAUGAGAUAAUUUAUUUAUGAACAAGGUAUAGCUAGGGACGCUGAUACUAGAAUUUAAAAGAAAAAUGUGUUUCUGUGUUUCUCUUGAAACGGCUGAUUUCACUGCUAUCUAAGAACAGCCUUAUUGGUAUAAUAUCUUAAGUGGAGUUCUAAAGUACACAAAAAAUUUGGAGUUUACUUCAUCAGCAAGCUCCAAUUGUCGACUGGCAUAAGAGCUUAUGGUUCAAACACCAUACUCCAAAAUUUGCUUUCUUUACUUGGUUAGCUAUUCAAAACCGUCUAACAACUGAUGACCGAAUGCUCCUAUGGUCUUCUAGUGUAAACCCAGCGUGUGUGUUUUGCAACCAGCUGGAAACUAGGGAUCAAGUUUUUCGUAUAAAUUGUUUAAUAUUAAAAUAUGAAAACAUGAAUUGCUGUGACGAAAAAUCUACGACUAGUCGAUUACAGGUAAAGUAUAAACACACAAAAAUUAUUAAGGAGGGACAUAAUAUACAUAUGUAUGGGAUCUUGGGGUCGAGUGGUAAGGAGAAAGACUUGGAAUGCAACACGUUUCAGGUUCGAUCCGCCUGUUACGUUAAACUAAGUCAUAUUACUCAUGGACAUUAACAUGAAUAUGAGUUUUUGCUUUCAACCUAUUUGAAUACCAGAGAAAGAAUCUAUCCAUAAGCUGCACCUUUCCAGUAUGAGUUAUUCUAUAGGUUCAUAAUUCAUGUUAAUAAAAAAGAAUGUAUAGUUUAACUCUUUGAUGAUAAUUUUCAUUUUAAACAAAAAGUUUAGGAGUUUGUUUUUAUUGAAAAAAAAUGUAAUGUAAACUGAUAAAAAAAGUGUCAGUUAUUCGAAAUUUGAAUGUAUUUGUAACAAUAAUCUUAGUCUUUUUUUUAAAUAAUGAUUUAAGAUAAAUUUGUAUUUGAUUAGAUUUUCUAUAAUAAGAAAUCUUCAUAUUAUACAAUAUAAUUUACUAGAGAAAUGAUUUAUACCAGAGAAAUGAUUUACUUUGUGUUUAAAAUUAUAAAAUAUGGCUCUAAAUUUUAAUGUUCACUAAACAUAAAAUAUUUAAAUGCUGCUUUUUAAAUCAGAUGUUUCAAGUUAUUUUUUAUUAAUGAAUGUGUUUGACAACAAAUUUGUCAUAAAUUUAAAGAUAUAUUUUUAUUCAUAAUAUUGUUUUGGUUGUUUGGCAACUCAUGUAAGUUUGUUUAUGACUAUUUUUGCCAUUAUUUACGAUUUUAUAAAAUCUUUUUUUUUGUAGCGUAAACUGAUAUAAACAAAUUUCAGUUAUAUAAAUUUCAAUUUAUUUAUUCGCAAUAAUAUUAGUCAUUUAUUAAAACUGAUAUAGGAUAAAUUGGUAUCCCAUUUGAUUUUCUAUUAUAAAAAAUAUUCAAAUAUAUUAAAACCUAUACUUAAAAAAAGAUAUAAUAUGGGUCUAAGUUUUGAAUGUUCAAAAAUGUAAAAUAUUUUAACGCUUCUUUUUAAAUCGGAUAUUUCAAGUUUAAUUUUUACUAUAGAAUGUGUUUGACAACAAAUCUAUCAUAAGUUUGAAGAUUUAUUUUUUAUUUAUAAUAUCGUUUUGAUUGUUUGACAACUGAUGUAAAUUGGUUUAUAGUUAUUUUCAUUUUAAAUAAAAUUAGAACGAUCUUUUUUUAUCUUUGAGAUUUUUAGAUUUUUUUUUUGAAAUGAUGACUUUGUGAGAAACUAAUAUUUUGCGAUUGAUUAUGAUUUAUAACAAAUUUAUAACCUCUUAUAAAAGUAGUUUAUACAUUUAUAAAAUAACUUAAAAGUUAUAGGAAUUUUAACUCUUACAAAUUUUUUUAAAGAAGUUUAAAAUCAUUAUAAUAUAUUAAUAAUCCUAAUAAAUGGUAAAAAUAAUUUAUUAUCUCUUAUAAAUAAUUUAUAAACUUUCACAACGAUUUAAGACUUCAUAAAAUAGUUUUAUAAAUAGUAUUGAUGUUUUUCAUUUUAAAUAAUCUACAAGCAUGUUAAACUUCAUAAAUAUAUUCAUAAGCUUCUCUAAAUGAGAUAUUAUUCUUUAUAAAUGGUUUUAUAAAUCUUUAUAAAUUAUUUUGUAAAUUAUUAUUAAUUAUAAAAUAUUCAUUAUUGUUAAUUUAAAAAAAAUGAUUAGAUAUGAAUUGGUAUAAAUAACUUCUUAGUAUUCUUAUAAAUGAUAUAUUAAUCAUUAUAAAUUAUUUUGAACUCAUGUAAAUAAUUCAUAAACCCGUUUUAUAGCUAACAUAUUGAAAUAUAUAUAUAUAUAUAUAUAUAUAUAUAGGAAAAUAAAGCUAUUUUAACACUGAUUUGCAAUAGGGAAACAAAUCUAUUAUAUUAGCUUUUAUUAGUUAUUAUUUAAAUGAUAUUAAUGGUUCUAUAUUGCCUUUUUAAAACAUGAUUAAAAUAAAUAAAAUCUAAAAUCAUCAAUUAAUUAAACUAGAACAACUUCUUUAAAUUUACCUAGGAUUUACAACUAAGCAAAGUUACUUCAGUGACUUUUCGUUUAAUAUAUAGGAGAAUUGAUGUUACAACUUUUUAAAAGAUCAUCAAAUAAUAUAUUGGAGAUAAGAUAAAGGUAAGAAUACAAACAUCUUAUUCAACUGUAUUAAAUUAUCUUAUAUAAAUUUCAGAUUUUGGUUCAAAAAAGUUAUUUCUUUUUGACAAUACAUUAAUACAUGGGCAGUUUGGUGUGAUUUCACUGCUAUUAUCUAAGCAUCUUCAUCAAUUCCAUUCCCCCUUUUAUCAACCAUCAGUCUUACCUUCCAAUAAGAUAAAGGUAAGAAUGCAAAUAUCUUAAACUCUAUUAAAUUAUCUUCAUUAAAUUUUAGAUUUCAACGAAAAAAAGUUAUUUCUUUUUGACAGUACAUUAAUACAUGUGCAGUUUGGUGUGGUUAUAUAUAUGUACAAGUAAAAUCACAUAGAUAUCCAAUACAUACCAAUUUUCGUAUAAUUUCAUUACCAUUUACAAACAAUGAUAAAAGUUUAUCUAUUGUUAAAAGUCAUUUUCAUAAUUUUAUCUGUCAUUGCGGUGCAUCACCUUCCUGUAGCAUCCUCUAAACAAUGGUGCAUAGCAAAUUCGACGGAGACAGAUGCAGGACUACUAUUAAAUAUAUAUUUAGGGUGCGGACAUAAAUUCGUCGAUUGUAGACCAAUCUACCAUGGUGGAUCUUGUUUCGAACCUGAUACUCUCAUUAGCCAUGCGUCAUUUGUGAUGAAUGCUUUUUUCCAACUCCAUAAUCGCACCAAAGAAUAUUGUGGUUACAACAGUACUGGCAUAAUCACUAGCACUGACCCAAGUUAUGGUUCAUGUGUGUAUUAUGUAUCUUAGAAAUAUACAAUUAGUUUUAAUAAUUUAUCCCUAGAAAUCUUUGCGGUGGGUAUGUGACCAACAUAAUUAUGUAAUGUUGCAAUAUGGAAUCAAAAUUAAUAUAAUUUAAUAAAAUAAUGAUGAUGAUUUCGUAUUUUCUAUGUUCC